rnacentral:rRNA from 1 species
AUACGGAGGGUGCAAGCGUUACUCGGAAUCACUGGGCGUAAAGGAUGCGUAGGCGGAUAAUCAAGUCAAAAGUGAAAUCCUACAGCUUAACUGUAGAACUGCUUUCGAAACUGGUUAUCUAGAGUAUGGAAGAGGCAGAUGGAAUUAGUGGUGUAGCGGUAAAAUCCGUAGAGAUCACUAGGAAUACCGAUUGCGAAGGCGAUCUGCUGGGACAUUAUUGACGCUGAGGCAUGAAAGCGUGGGGAGCAAACAGGAUUAGAAACCCUAGUAGUCC